rnacentral:rRNA from 1 species
AUUGAACGCUGGCGGCAGGCCUAACACAUGCAAGUCGAACGAGUGGCGGACGGGUGCGUAAUGUCUGGGAAACUGCCUGAUGGAGCGGGGUAACUACUGGCAACGGUAGCUAAUACCGCAUACCAUCAGAUGUGCCCAGAUGGGAUUAGCUAGUUGGUGGGGUAACGGCUCACCAAGGCGACGAUCCCUAGCUGGUCUGAGAGGAUGACCAGCCACACUGGAAUUGAGACACGGUCCAGACGCCUACGGGAGGCAGCAGUGGGGAAUAGUGCACAAUGGGCGAAAGCCUGAUGCAGCCAUGCCGCGUGUAUGAAGAAGGCCUUCGGGUUGUAAAGUACUCUCAGCGGGGAGGCGUUACCCGCAGAAGAAGCACCGGCUAAAUCCGUGCUAGCAGCCGCGGUAAUGC